GUGCUCACUUCAGCAGCACCUAUACACUAAAAUUGGAACAAUACAGAGAAGGUUAGCAUAGCCCCUGUGCACGGAUAACACAAAAAUUCAUGAAGCAUUUCAUAUUUGG